rnacentral:rRNA from 1 species
GAUGAACGCUGGCGGCGUGCCUAAUACAUGCAAGUCGAGCGAACGGACGAGAAGCUUGCUUUUCUGAUGUUAGCGGCGGACGGGUGAGUAACACGUGGAUAACCUACCUAUAAGACUGGGAUAACUUCGGGAAACCGGAGCUAAUACCGGAUAAUAUUUUGAACCGCAUGGUUCAAAAGUGAAAGACGGUCUUGCUGUCACUUAUAGAUGGAUCCGCGCUGCAUUAGCUAGUUGGUAAGGUAACGGCUUACCAAGGCAACGAUGCAUAGCCGACCUGAGAGGGUGAUCGGCCACACUGGAACUGAGACACGGUCCAGACUCCUACGGGAGGCAGCAGUAGGGAAGCUUCCGCAAUGGGCGAAAGCCUGACGGAGCAACGCCGCGUGAGUGAUGAAGGUCUUCGGAUCGUAAAACUCUGUUAUUAGGGAAGAACAUAUGUGUAAGUAACUGUGCACAUCUUGACGGUACCUAAUCAGAAAGCCACGGCUAACUACGUG